AAAGGAUGGCAUAAAAAAGAUAAUGCGUUAGUGGUUUCUCAUAUUAAUUAGCCGAAGAAUAAAAUUAUAAACAAAGGACUUGCGUCUGGGGGAAUCGUCGCUGAGAAAGAAAACGCGCAUUUUUGUAGUGAAGGAGAGAAGAUGCAGAGAUCAUCGAGCAGUUCUUGGGUGCCUGAUGAGUCCUUUAAGGACACCAACACAAAGUACACAGACAAAGACCAGCAACAACUGCCCACUUACGAUCCUCUUUCCCACGUCGCCAAGAAGGAGAGGUCUCGUCUUAGAUCUGCAGAGAACGCAAUCCAUCUCAUACCUCUUGUUCUUGUUCUCUGUGCCAUCAUCCUAUGGAUCUUCUCCAGCCCAGAGUCAAGGGUUUGAAGUUUGAUGGAAAACCUAUUUUAGCAUCAGUUCCUAGAGUGGUUCGCCAUAGAGCAUGAAGCUAGAACACUUCAAUUCAACAAAAGCAACUGGUUUAUUACAUCUCGCCAAAGGGAUUAGCAUACAAUACAAGCAAAAGCACUACUGCUGGCCUCUUCUGUUAGACUGAUUUAGUUUGUUAAUAUGGAAAAGCAGUUAAAUUUCUUUUUGCACAUUUGACCCAUUGUAUGUAGAAGUUUUAUGAUAUAAAGGGAUUUUUUU
rnacentral:misc_RNA from 1 species